GGGGUGAAGUCGUAACAAGAAGCUCGUACUUUCCAGUAUGGCUUGGAUUAGCCUCUUUUAAAUAGAAAGAUAAAUUAAGGCUAAUUUUAUUGAUUAUUCUUUUUGCUUUUAUUUUUAUGAAAAAGUUUUUGGAGUUGAGGUAAAUUUUUAGUUUAAAAUUUAGAAAAAAUAAAUCUUUAACAAGUGUUUGGUAGUAUUCAGCUUAAUAUUUAAUUAAGAUUUGUUUAAUAGUAAGUACAAUUUUAGAUUUUAGGGUU
rnacentral:misc_RNA from 1 species